rnacentral:rRNA from 1 species
GACGAACGCUGGCGGCGUGCUUAACACAUGCAAGUCGAACGGUAAGGCCCUUCGGGGUACACGAGUGGCGAACGGGUGAGUAACACGUGGGUGAUCUGCCCUGCACUUCGGGAUAAGCCUGGGAAACUGGGUCUAAUACCGGAUAGGACCACUGCCUGCAUGGGUGGUGGUGGAAAGCUUUUGCGGUGUGGGAUGGGCCCGCGGCCUAUCAGCUUGUUGGUGGGGUGAUGGCCUACCAAGGCGACGACGGGUAGCCGGCCUGAGAGGGUGACCGGCCACACGAGGACUGAGAUACGGCCCAGACUCCUACGGGAGGCAGCAGUGGGGAAUAUUGCACAAUGGGCGCAAGCCUGAUGCAGCGACGCCGCGUGAGGGAUGACGGCCUUCGGGUUGUAAACCUCUUUCAGCAUCGACGAAGCGCAAGUGACGGUAGGUGCAGAAGAAGGACCGGCCAACUACGUGCCAGCAGCCGCCGUAA